rnacentral:rRNA from 1 species
UACGAAGGGGGCUAGCGUUGUUCGGAUUUACUGGGCGUAAAGCGCACGUAGGCGGAUCGUUAAGUCGGGGGGUGAAAUCCUGGAGCUCAACUCCAGAACUGCCUUCGAUACUGGCGAUCUUGAGUCCGGAAGAGGUGAGUGGAACUCCUAGUGUAGAGGUGGAAUUCGUAGAUAUUAGGAAGAACACCAGUGGCGAAGGCGGCUCACUGGUCCGGUACUGACGCUGAGGUGCGAAAGCGUGGGGAGCAAAACAGG